UACGUAGGGUGCGAGCGUUGUCCGGAAUUAUUGGGCGUAAAGAGCUCGUAGGCGGUGUGUCACGUCGUUCGUGAAAACCUGCAGCUUAACUGUGGGCGUGCGGUCGAUACGGGCAUCACUGGAGUUCGGCAGGGGAGACUGGAAGUUCCUGGUGUAGCGGUGAAAUGCGCAGAUAUCAGGAGGAACACCAAUGGCGAAGGCAGCUCGCUGGGACGGUACUGACGCUGGAGGCGACGAAAGCGUGGGGAGCAAACAGG
rnacentral:rRNA from 1 species